rnacentral:lncRNA from 1 species
AUGAAGAUGUUAAAUAACUUGUCAUUUUACAGCCAAUUCAGGAAAAAGUUCCUCACUCCUCUCCUUGGAGACCUAGACAUAACCCUGGUCGGUCUCUGGGGUCAACUCUCGUCUCCUCUGAAACGCUGGCUGCGUGAUUUGAUCGUCACGGCUGUCAUUAUCAUCCAGCUUGGCACAUGCCUCAAGGGUUUUCCCAUUGAACAAGGGUCUGAACUGUGCUGACCAUGCUUCCUCAUACCAAUUAUAACUUCUAUGCAGUUAUCUAAAAGGGAGAAAAAAUAUAUCAACAUUAUUCCCAGCCUGGUAAUGAGGAAGCAAUUUUCCCUUAUUAUAACUGACUAAAUAUGUGCAGGCUGACCCUCAAGUCCCCUCAUCACCCUCUGCUGUCUCUCUGGAAAUCAUGGGCAAGACUUACUUUUUGUUUCAGAUUUCCUUGACUCUCUACUGUUUCAUUUACUCCUUGUAAAUCCCAUGCUUGUUCCAUCCUUAUCCUGACUGUGCCAAAUGACAUUUCUCAUUCCAUGCCCCCGUUGCCUCUUUUCCUAAUAUUCUUAAUAUGCUGUUCACUGAGACCUUAGUUCCAUUUCUCAUUUGGUUUCCUGUCACCGGACUCCCUCACUUUUUACUGCUUAGGCACCAGAGGAGGGGGAUCCUUGAGCCAGGCAAAUGAUCUAGCAGAUUCUACUCUCUUUGCUUUUUGUUAUUUCUACGACUCCAAAUUGUCUGUCCUCAACUCCCAUUUUAUGCAAAUAAUUUAUAGUGCAUGCAUCUUUUUUUAACCAGAAACAGUGACAUCUCUUUUCUACAAGCAAUCAAAGCAUGAGUUACACUGAUGAGAAAGACCGAAAACACACAAGGAAUUCAUAAUUUUUUCAUAUAUGUAUACAUAUAUAAAACUUUUAGAUCAAGGUGAUGCAAAGAUAUUGUACGAAUAAGCUGGUCUCCCCAACCUCGAUGUAUAGGGAAUCAUCUCUGAUGAUUUGAUAAUUAAGAAUGACAUUACAGAAAAAGAAUUUUACAAACCUAUGUAUUAAUGACUCCUCCUUUCUAUUAUGCAACCCUUUAGAGCAGCCCCAAGUUAAUCAAAAGUUCUAGUCUGAGAGAAUAUUUCACUCUGUGAAAGGUUAUGUAACUAGGACAUAAGGAACAGACUGAUGUAAUAGAAUUUCUUUUUUCUUCCUUCGGAAUAUAUAUGAUAUCCAGUUUCUACCUAUGGACAUACUGAGCUGAAUGAAGGCUAUGAGUCCCAGUCUACUUGAAAAUUAUCCAUAUGUAACUCUGCCAGAUGACAGGUAAGCAGAAAUGCUUUAUAUAAGCAUCUAGAACACUGCAUAAGUUUGUACACACCCAUUGCCCCUUCUUGUUGUAUUUCAAAAUAGUUUUGAAGUUAUGAAACAAAAAUUGUGAGGUAGUAAUAAAAAGACUUCCCAUAUAUCCUUUACUCCA